GAACAAGUAGGUAAAUAAUAAUAAAAUAACAAAAAAUUAUUGAGGGGAAGAAAAAAAGAAAAAAAUUAUUGAACUUGGUUUUUGUUUAGAGAAGCAAUAUUAAAUUAUUAGCCUGCCACUGUGGAACCUCUGUAUAAUUUAAAUUAAAUUAUACAAAAAUGUAAGCCACACGAUCGGUGUUGUGUCAUUUAUUAUGGUACUUUUUUAAAGAUUUAUUUUAUUUUUAAUUAUAAGUGUGUGUGUGUGUGUGUGUGUGUGUGUGUGUGUGUGUGUGUACAUGAGUGAAGAGGCCAGAAAUCAGUGUCAGAUCCCCCUGGAACUGGAGUUAUAAGUGUUUGUGGGGUUCUUACUAGAUUCCUAUGAGCUAAACUCUAGUCCACUGAGCUAUUUCUCCAGCCUACUAAUAUAACAUCUUUUAAAAGUUAUAUUUUGUGUGUGUGUAUUUUAUGUAUAUUCCUUUUUUUCUAAAAAUGAGGUUCUACUGAAUGUUGUAAUGAUUUUAAACUUGCUUUUUUUGUUGUUGUUAUUAUUAUCUUUACAUGUGUUGGAGUGUGUUUAUUGGGGUGUUUUCUGAGGGGUUGAGACAGUCAUGGUUUAUAGCUAGCCUGAUCUCCAGCUUCCUGUGUCUUAUUAGGCUGGCCUCAAAUUCUUGAUCCUUCUGCCUCUGUGUCGGUUGCUGAGGUUACAAGCAUACAGCAUCAUAUCUGUAUAAUGUACAUAAAAUGUAAUACCAAUUUGUAUUCACUCACUUAUAUACUUAUUUUAAAUUUUAUUUGUAUGCCAUAGCACACAUAGAGGUCAGGGGACAACCUUCAAGAAUUGGUUUUCUCUACCAUUUAGGUCCUAAGGAUCACUCUCAGGUUGUUGGAUUUGGUGACAAGCAUCUUCAUCCACUAAGCCAUCUUGCCCCACCCACACAUGUUUUAUUUUUAUGUGUUGUAUGGGUGUUUUGCCUCCAUGUUUGUCUUGUCUAUACAACAGUUGCAUACAGUGUCCACUAAAGAAGAGGGAGUUGGAAACUCUGGAACUGGAGUUACAGAUAUUUGUAAGGUGCUAUUUAGAAUCAAACUGGGGUCCUCUAGUCUUUUUUUUUUUAAGAUUUAUUUAUUAUAUAUAUUUGAAUAUAUAUAUUAUUAUUUAUUAUAUGUAAGUACACUGUAGCUGUCUUCAGACACUCCAGAAGAGGGCGUCAGAUCUUGUUACAGAUGGUUGCGAGCCACCAUGUGGUUGCUGGGAUUUGAACUCCAGACCUUCGGAAGAGCAGUCGGGUGCUCUUACCCACUGAGCCAUCUCACCAGCCCGGUCCUCUAGUCUUAACUGCCAAGCUAUCUCUCCCACCCCCAGCAUUGAUUUUUAAAAUAACAGUAGUGUGACCAUUACAUCAGUGGUUCCCAACCUUCCUAAUGCUGAAACCCUUUACGUCAGUUCCUUGUGUUGGGGUGACCCCUAACCAGAAAUUAUUCUCACUACUAUGUCAUUACUAUAAUUUUGUUAUUAAUUGUAAUGUAAAUAUCUGUUUUCCAAUGGUCUUAUGCAACUCCCUGUGAAAGGAUUAUUCAACACCCCCCUCCAUCUACUUCCCCCAAAAAGAGGCAACAACCCACAGGUUGUUACUGGAUAAACCAUUUUUCUAGUCCAUAUUAUGUUAUUGGAUAUUUGUUUUUAGUUUUUCUCUGAUAAUUGCACAGGUACCAGGCCAAAAACAAUUUGAAAUCACACUGCAUUUUUCCCUGUACCCAGUGUAGUUGCUAACUGUUGUCCUGGAUCAUAUUGGAGGCUGCUGCUUGACAGGACUUUUCCUGAGGAGACACAAAACAUCUACUCCCCCAGAUAGGGGAUCCACAACAGAUCAAAGUACAGAUACCACCAAAAUCCAGCUUGGUGAAUCAAUCAAUGACCUUUAUUGGUGUUAUUUACAAGAAUGGGUGAGGAAUUACUUAGAGGAACAUCUGGAUCAUCAUAACCCAUCCCUCACAGUUCACAGCUCCCCAAAUCUGAGAACCUAAAACACACCUCACAGCCUGCAGGCAGCUCAGCAGAUUGGAGCUUUCCUGGUGCCCUAGUUUGUCUCCUCCAGGCAGCUGGCCUUGUGUCGGGUCUUUGCAGAUUGGCUAGUCUGAAAGUGAGUCUGCUGUCUGUUGUUUACUCUGGGAGGGAGGACUGCCCUAGUCAAGCGGGUCCGCGGGUCCGUUUCAAGUACUUCCUGAAACUAUUUUGAAUUCCUUUAGUUCUGGUUUAAGGAACUUCCCUACAGGGUGGGAUGUUUCUAUCUCAGAGGAAACCGAUACGCAACAGGUGCAUUGUUUCAUUUACCAAAGCCCUAUGAAAUAACUCAAGGCACAGGAGAUGGAAUAGCCACACUAAGUCUAACCGUGUGGUUUGAACUUAAAAUUAGAGGACUUGCUCUUAGUCUUUUAAGUUAAUAUAGUAAAACAGAACU
rnacentral:lncRNA from 1 species